GUAGUAUUCCCUCCGUCCCAAAAUUCUUGUCUUACAUUUGUUUAGAUAUGGAUGUAUCUAACACUAAAAUGUAACUAGAUACAUCCGUAUUUAGACAAAUUUAAGACAAGAAUUUUGGGACGGAGGGAGUGCAAA
rnacentral:pre_miRNA from 1 species